rnacentral:rRNA from 1 species
AUUGAACGCUGGCGGCAGGCCUAACACAUGCAAGUCGAGCGAGCGGCGGACGGGUGAGUAAUGUAUGGGGACUGCCCGAUAGAGGGGGAUAACUACUGGAAACGGGAGCUAAUACCGCAUAUUAUCGGAUAACCCAUAUGGGAUUAGCUAGUAGGUGAGGUAAUGGCUCACCUAGGUGACGAUCCCUAGCGGGUCUGAGAGGAGGAUCAGCCACACUGGGACUGAGACACGGUCCAGACUCAUACGGAGUCAGCAGUGGGGAAUAGUGCACAAGGGGCGCAAGCCUGAUGCAGCCAUGCCGCGUGGAUGAAGAAGGCCCUAGGGUUGUAAAGUACUUUCAGUCGGGAGGCGUUACCGACAGAAGAAGCACCGGCUAACGCCGUGCCAGCAGCCGCGGUAAUUC